rnacentral:rRNA from 1 species
AGAGUUUGAUCCUGGCUCAGAGCGAACGCUGGCGGCAUGCUUAACACAUGCAAGUCUCACGGGCAGCAAUGUCAGUGGCGGACGGGUGAGUAACGCGUAGGAAUCUGUCCUCGGGUGGGGGAUAACUGUGGGAAACUACAGCUAAUACCGCAUGAAACCUGUGGGUCAAAGGCGCAAGUCGCCUGGGGAGGAGCCUGCGUACGAUUAGCUAGUUGGUGGGGUAACUGCUUACCAAGGCGACGAUCGUUAGCUGGUCUGAGAGGAUGAUCAGCCACAUUGGGACUGAGACACGGCCCAAACUCCUACGGGAGGCAGCAGUGGGGAAUAUUGGACAAUGGGGGACACCCUGAUCCAGCAAUGCCGCGUGUGUGAAGAAGGUCUUCGGAUUGUAAAGCACUUUCGACGGGGACGAUGAUGACGGUACCCGUAGAAGAAGCCCCGGCUAACUUCGUGCCAGCAGCCGCGGUAAUACGAAGGGGGCUAGCGUUGCUCGGAAUGACUGGGCGUAAAGGGCGCGUAGGCGGAUUGUACAGUCAGAUGUGAAAUUCCCGGGCUUAACCUGGGGGCUGCAUUUGAUACGUAUGAUCUAGAGUGAGGAAGAGGGUUGUGGAAUUCCCAGUGUAGAGGUGAAAUUCGUAGAUAUUGGGAAGAACACCGGUGGCGAAGGCGGCAACCUGGUCCUUGACUGACGCUGAGGCGCGAAAGCGUGGGGAGCAAACAGGAUUAGAUACCCCCGUAGUCC